GUGAGCCGACGACCAGUGCAACAGAGAGCAGACCGCCAUUUUUAGAAAAGGAAAGGGUGAAAGGGUGCGGUAAGAGCGCACCGCGUGGGUGGCAACACUUCACGGCAGGGUAAACUCCACUCGUAGCAAGACCAAAUAGGAACUCAAUGGAUGGCCCGUCCAGAGUUCGGGUAGGUUGCUUGAGCAUAAUAGUGAUGUUAUGCCUAGAGGAAUGGUUGUCCAAGACAGAACUCGGCUUAUCGACUAACUCAUCUU
rnacentral:RNase_P_RNA from 1 species